UACAGAGGUCUCAAGCGUUGUUCGGAUUCAUUGGGCGUAAAGGGUGCGUAGGUGGCGCCAUAAGUCAGGUGUGAAAUCUCGGGGCUCAACCCCGAAACUGCACUUGAUACUGUGGUGCUCGAGUACUGGAGAGGAGAUUGGAAUUUACGGUGUAGCGGUGAAAUGCGUAGAUAUCGUAAGGAAGACCAGUGGCGAAGGCGGGUCUCUGGACAGUUCCUGACGCUGAGGCACGAAGGUCAGGGGAGCAAACGGG
rnacentral:rRNA from 1 species